rnacentral:siRNA from 1 species
UCCCAAAGCUUUCAUGGUGUA